rnacentral:rRNA from 1 species
UUUUUGAAUAUAAUUUAAAGUAGGGCCUGCCCMCUGAAGAUUUAAAGGGCCGCAGUAUUUUGACUGUGCAAAGGUAGCAUAAUCAUUAGUUUUUUAAUUGAAAGCUUGUAUGAAUGGUUUGAUGAAAAAAUAACUUUCUAUACUUAAAUUUUUAAGAAUUUUAUAUUUAAGUUAAAAAGCUUAAAUGUUUUAAUUAGACGAGAAGACCCUAUAGAGUUUUAUUUUAUUUAUUUAAUAAAAUUUUAGAAUUAAUUUUUUUUUAAUUUAAAUAAAAUUUGAUUGGGGUGAUUGAAAAAUUAAAUGAACUUUUUUUUUAUUUUUACAUAUAUAUAUGAAUUUAUGAUCCAUAGAAAUGAUUACAAGAAUAAAUUACCUUAGGGAUAACAGCGUUAUUUUUUUUUAGAGUUCAAAUCGAAAAAAAAGAUUGCGACCUCGAUGUUGGAUUAAAAUUAAUUUUAGGGGUAGAAGCUUAAAAAUUUGGUCUGUUCGACCAUUAAAAUUUUACA